ACCCCAGAAACUCAAGGGAGGAAACUGACUGCCUUCUUGGGGUUUUCUUAACUGUGCUUUUUCUGCUCUGCAGGAAAGAUGCAACCUGGGCCAGAGGCCCCUGGAGGUUGUGCCUGAACCCAGACAGAUCACACAAACCUGAGCAGCCAUUAGCCGCUGUGUGGGCUCCUUUGCACUGUGGGGCUGCUCCUGGGGAUAUUUACGUUGUGAACUGGUAAAAUCUGAACUGCAGAAUAUCAAUUUCCAGACAUUCUUCCUAGAUGAUGCCGUCUGCCACGGGUAAGGAUUCAUGAGACCUGAGCAGCCAGCCAGCCCUGAAAUGGUUGGAACAGGAGAAAGAAGAAGAGCUCGACAGAUACCCUGCCUGGGCUGGCAGCUAGCUGCACCACAAGCUGGCCAGCUGACAGCGGGCACAUCCCUUCAUCACCCAGUGCCUUUCUUCCCUCUUGUGAAAAUGGAGAUAUGCUGAGAAGGUUACUUCAGCUCAUCCAGAGAAAGCUUCUUCAGCUAACUAGGCUGUAGAAAGGGCCUACAGCCUAAAUUUUCAAAAACAAGUUAAUGCCAGAAUAUAAACUCCGUGAAGUAACA
rnacentral:lncRNA from 1 species